rnacentral:rRNA from 1 species
GACGAACGCUGGCGGCGUGCCUAAUACAUGCAAGUAGAACGCAGUUGCGAACGGGUGAGUAACGCGUAGGUAACCUGCCUCAUAGCGGGGGAUAACUAUUGGAAACGCUAGCUAAUACCGCAUACUGUGAGAUGGACCUGCGUUGUAUUAGCUAGUUGGUGAGGUAAAGGAGCACCAAGGCGACGAUCCCUAGCUGGUCUGAGAGGAUGAUCAGCCACACUGGAACGUAGACACGGUCCAGACUCCGACGGGAGGCAGCAGUGGGGAAUAGUGCACAAGGGGGGAAACCCUGAAGCAGCCAUGCCGCGUGAGUGAAGAAGGCCUUCGGGUUGUAAAGCACUGUCAGCGGGGAAGCGUUACUCACAGAAGAAGCACCGGCUAACUCCGUGCCAGCAGCCGCGGUAAUAC